GCCGGAGUAGCUCAGUUGGUGAGAGCACGCGUCUCAUAAGCGCGGGGUCGGCGGUUCAAGUCCGCCCUCCGGCACCA
rnacentral:tRNA from 1 species